rnacentral:rRNA from 1 species
CCGCCGGUGUUGUUGUGAGAAGUUCAUUAAACCUUAUCAUUUAGAGGAAGGAGAAGUCGUAACAAGGUUUCCGUAGGUGAACCUGCGGAAGGAUCAUUGAACACACCGAUCUCGGAAAAACCCUGCGAAUCGCUGAAGUAUCCUGAGGGAUCGUGCUGGGAGGCACGAUCGUCGGUCCCGGAGACUGGGAUUCAUGUGCAUUCGCCGUGAUCCUCCUGCUGGUGCGUGGUUGGGAUAUGCGUCUCCGGAGUACCGUCGGAAGGCUCCUCGGCACGCGCGGUCUCGUUUGCUCGUGGGUUGUCACGAUCCUGCAGGAUCUUGGAUCCUGCUUGACUCUGCUCCCACCGCACUCGAAAUCGGGAGUGCGUUCCCCUCCUCCGAGGGAGAGAAGAUCGGACUCCCGGGAGUUUCUUCCGGGAAGCUCCUUCCUCUCUUCCUCGGUGCCCCCUUUUUUUCCACUAGGAACCUGGUGAAACGAGUUUUGAUGGACUGAGACGGGCGAGGGGGAUCCGCAUCCCUUCGGUGUGGAUCCUCCGAGUCCCAAGGAAAGUGAAAAGAGCAAAUGACUCUCAGCAACGGAUAUCUUGGCUCUUGCAACGAUGAAGAACGCAGCGAAAUGCGAUACCUAGUGUGAAUUGCAGAAUUCCGCGAAUCAUCGAGUUUUUGAACGCAAGUUGCGCCCGAGGCUCGUUCCGAGGGCAUGCCUGCCUGAGCGUCCGCUCCAACCCACCCACAAGCCUCUUGUCUCCCUCCCUCCCGGGGGCGGGCGAGGCAAGAGUUCAGAGUGCGCGUGGAAUUGGUCGUCCGGGAACCCGAUCGUCACCUUCUGGUGGCGGUCGAAGGAGUCGCGGUUGGCUGAAAAAUGGGAGCCGUCCGUCAAGCGCGCGCAAGGGGCAAUGGUGCGUCGCGAGAAGGUGCCGUCCUCUCCUUGUCUUGAACAGGAGACGGACGUUGGUAACAAAAGCGUCGCACCUCCCCUGCGGAGUUCGGAUCUGGCGGACUGGUGAGAUGCAAACAUGGGAACGGGGAGACUUGGUCGUGCUCCGCAGCGGCUCUCGAGCAUGCUGGGAGACAUCAACCUGCCUGUGACGUUGUUGGACCUCAGAUCAGACAAGACCACCCGCUGAGUUUAAGCAUAUCACUAAGCGGAGGAGAAGAAACUAACAAGG